UUGCUCGCUUUGGAAGCACUUAUAUUAAAAAUGGAAUGAUACAGAGAAGAUUAGCAUGGCCCCUGUGCAAAAAUGACACACACAUUCAUGAAGCAUUCCAUAUUAAA
ensembl:snRNA U6 U6 spliceosomal RNA